ACGCACGCUGGCGGCAUGCCUCAUCCCUGCCAGUCGCACGCGAUCUUCGGAUCUAGUGGCGCACGGGUGCGUAACGCGUGGGAAUCUGCCCUUGGGUUCGGAAUAACUUCUGGAAACGGAAGCUAAUACCGGAUGAUGACGUAAGUCCAAAGAUUUAUCGCCCAAGGAUGAGCCCGCGUAGGAUUAGCUAGUUGGUGGGGUAAAGGCCCACCAAGGCGACGAUCCUUAGCUGGUCUGAGAGGAUGAUCAGCCACACUGGGACUGAGACACGGCCCAGACUCCUACGGGAGGCAGCAGUAGGGAAUAUUGGACAAUGGGGGAAACCCUGAUCCAGCAAUGCCGCGUGAGUGAUGAAGGCCUUAGGGUUGUAAAGCUCUUUUACCCGGGAUGAUAAUGACAGUACCGGGAGAAUAAGCUCCGGCUAACUCCGUG
rnacentral:rRNA from 1 species